rnacentral:rRNA from 1 species
AUGCAUUCCCUUCUGAUUCACUUUGCUUCUAUGGGCCAUCCUUAUGCAUCUUUGCAAAAUAUUUUCAAUUUUAUGUGGUGCAUUUGGAAGGCUAGAAAUGAUUUCCUCUUUGAGAGGAAAUUUUCUUUUCCCUACCAAAUUAAAAUUGUUGCUACUAGUUUGAAUAAUAUUCUCCAAGAGGAGAUUUUGCCUUCUACUAAUAUUCAGUCUUUGCAGGCUUCUCAACCUGAUAAUUCUCCUCUUCCUAAGCAAGGCAAUACUCUCAAAUCAGACCUUCUCAUUAAUGGUGCUAAAGUGUUUUCCCGAUGCUGCUUUCAGAACUUCUAG